rnacentral:lncRNA from 1 species
CUCCAAUCUUUAUUGACCUACUCCGACACCCAACUCUAAAAUUCAAUCCGAACGUAAAUGUUCGAAAGACUAUAGCAUCCCUUUGGCAAUCAAUUUAUAAAUUAUUUAUAGAUUUAUUAUAGUCAAACCUUAAUUUUUUAUUAUAUAUUUAUAAUGUUGGGGAUCCUAGGAGUUCAAUCAACCAAAACAUCAAACAAUAGAAGAAAUUCUAAGGCAAAACCAAGAAAAUACGAAACUGGAAAUAACACAACCCAUAUGGCCAAAUCUAGACAGCUUCUGCUUCCUCCUUUCCGCAGCUUCUUCUCCUCCUUAUGGCUGAUUUUACAGGCUCAGGAACAGCCCUCCAUGACUUGCAAAUCACCUUCCAAGAGAGAGAGAGAGAAAAAUCGGCAAAGAACCCACCACCUUCAAGCUAAAACCGAGAGACUAUAGAGAAAGGAAAGGGAGUCGACUUAAGAAGGGAAGAAAAGGAAAGACCCAUCCCUCUGCCAAAAAGGUGGGGAGCCUUAUUGUGUCACCAUCAAUACCAUCAAGUCAAAAACAUCUCCCCCAAGAUUAAAUCCCGGCCGUCGAUCUUCAUCCAAUGGUCCACAAAAAUCUGAAUAAAUGGAGUUAAGAGAACCAUAUUCUCACAUUCUUCACCUUGGUUCUCAUAACACUCUCUCUUGGUUACGAAUUUGCACAUAGAAGAACUGUUAAUCAUCAUCGCCCACUAUCUGCAAGAAAAAUUAAAUAGUGUCAAUAUGUAAUAAAGAUAAGCACAAUUUAAAUUUACCUGCAGGUAGAAUUUUUGUUCCCAUAUCAGAGAGAUUCCUAUCAGUGUGAAUUUCAACAAGAUUAACUUCACCUUGAGACAGUUUCUCAUGAAUAAAAUGAUACUUUACCUCAAUAUGUUUAGUUCUUUCAUGGUAAACAGGAUUUUUACAAAGCAAUAAAGCACUUUGACUAUCAGUAAACAUAACAGGUGUAUCAUGCAUGAAGUUCAAUUCUUUUAAAAUUCCUUUUAACCAAGUACAUUCUUUAACCGCCUCGGUUAUGGCAACAUACUCUGCCUCAGUACUUGACAAAGUAACUAAAGGCUGCAGCUGUGACUUCCAUGUUAUACAAUUGUCACCUAGUGUAAAAAAGUACGCUGUGGUAGACUUUCUGUUAUCCUUGUCACCAGCAAAAUCAGAGUCUACAUACCCCUUUA